rnacentral:rRNA from 1 species
GAUUCCGUCAGUAGCGGCGAGCGAACGCGGAUUAGCCCAAACCAAGGGGCUUGCCCCUUGGGGUUGUGGGACGUCUCACAUGGAGUUACAAAGGGAUAGGGUAGACGAAGAGGUCUGGAAAGGCCCGUCGUAGAAGGUAACAACCCUGUAGUCGAAAGUCUAUCCCCUCCGAGACGGAUCCCGAGUACCGCGAGACACGUGAAACCUCGUGGGAAUCCGGCAGGACCAUCUGCCAAGGCUAAAUACUCCCUGGCGACCGAUAGUGAAGCAGUACCGUGAGGGAAAGGUGAAAAGCACCGCGGGAGCGGAGUGAAAAAGAACCUGAAACCGUGCGCUUACAAGAAGUCAGAGCCCGAUCUAGGGGUGAUGGCGUGCCUUUUGUAGAAUGAACCGGCGAGUUACGUUCACGUGCAAGGUUAAGCUGAGAAGGCGGAGCCGAAGCGAAAGCGAGUCUGAAUAGGGCGAAUAAGUACGUGGUCGUAGACCCGAAACCGUGUGAUCUACCCCUGUGCAGGGUGAAGGUGAGGUAACACG